rnacentral:rRNA from 1 species
GACGAACCGUGCAAACGUUAUUCGGAAUCACUGGGCUUAAAGCGCGUGUAGGCGGAACGGCACGUCGGUCGCUGAAAUCCCCCGGCUCAACCGGGGAACGGGCGCCGAUACGACCGUUCUCGAGGGACGUAGGGGGACCUGGAACUUCCGGUGGAGCGGUGAAACGCGUUGAGAUCGGAAGGAACGCCCGUGGCGAAGGCGAGGUCCUGGACGUUUUCUGACGCUGAGACGCGAAAGCCAGGGGAGCGAACGGG